rnacentral:rRNA from 1 species
CGAACGCUGGCGGCGUGCUUAACACAUGCAAGUCGAACGGAAAGGCCCUGCUUUUGUGGGGUGCUCGAGUGGCGAACGGGUGAGUAACACGUGAGUAACCUGCCCUUGACUUUGGGAUAACUUCAGGAAACUGGGGCUAAUACCGGAUAGGAGCUCCUGCUGCAUGGUGGGGGUUGGAAAGUUUCGGCGGUUGGGGAUGGACUCGCGGCUUAUCAGCUUGUUGGUGGGGUAGUGGCUUACCAAGGCUUUGACGGGUAGCCGGCCUGAGAGGGUGACCGGCCACAUUGGGACUGAGAUACGGCCCAGACUCCUACGGGAGGCAGCAGUGGGGAAUAUUGCACAAUGGGCGGAAGCCUGAUGCAGCAACGCCGCGUGCGGGAUGACGGCCUUCGGGUUGUAAACCGCUUUCGCCUGUGACGAAGCGUGAGUGACGGUAAUGGGUAAAGAAGCACCGGCUAACUACGUGCCAGCAGCCGCGGUGAUACGUAGGGUGCGAGCGUUGUCCGGAUUUAUUGGGCGUAAAGGGCUCGUAGGUGGUUGAUCGCGUCAGAAGUGUAAUCUUGGGGCUUAACCCUGAGCGUGCUUUCGAUACGGGUUGACUUGAGGAAGGUAGGGGAGAAUGGAAUUCUGGUGGAGCGGUGGAAUGCGCAGAUAUCAGGAGGAACACCAGUGCGAAGGCGGUUCUCUGGGCCUUCCUGACGCUGAGAGCGAAAGCGUGGGAAGCGAACAGGCUUAGAUACCUGGUAGUCCACGCUGUAAACGGUGGGUACUAGGUGUGGGGUCCAUUCCACGGGUUCCGUGCCGUAGCUAACGCUUUAAGUACCCCGCCUGGGGAGUACGGCCGCAAGGCUAAAACUCAAAGGAAUUGACGGGGCCCCGCACAAGCGGCGGAGCAUGCGGAUUAAUUCGAUGCAACGCGUAGAACCUUACCUGGGUUUGACAUGGAUCGGGAGUGCUCAGAGAUGGGUGUGCCUCUUUUGGGGUCGGUUCACAGGUGGUGCAUGGCUGUCGUCAGCUCGUGUCGUGAGAUGUUGGGUUAAGUCCCGCAACGAGCGCAACCCUUGUUCACUGUUGCCAGCACGUUAUGGUGGGGACUCAGUGGAGACCGCCGGGGUCAACUCGGAGGAAGGUGGGGAUGACGUCAAGUCAUCAUGCCCCUUAUGUCCAGGGCUUCACGCAUGCUACAAUGGCUGGUACAGAGAGUGGCGAGCCUGUGAGGGUGAGCGAAUCUCGGAAAGCCGGUCUCAGUUCGGAUUGGGGUCUGCAACUCGACCUCAUGAAGUCGGAGUCGCUAGUAAUCGCAGAUCAGCAACGCUGCGGUGAAUACGUUCCCGGGGCUUGUACACACCGCCCGUCAAGUCAUGAAAGUUGGUAACACCCGAAGCCGGUGGCCUAACCGUUGUGGGGGAGCCGUCGAAGGUGGGACUGGUGAUUAGG